CAUGGCCCGACUGAUAGAUCUCGUGCUACCGACUAAUCCGUUUGCGGUUACAGCUUCGUCACUACACAUAGCAAGCUGCCACUGCCAGAUAACAGUACCCCUAUUUUAAAUGGAGCAUAGCUUAUCUAGUCAUGUGACCAAGUCAGUUCUCACUACGGCUAGAUCUAGGACUCACUUUAGUGAAUGACAUAUGAAUAUGUUACCAACAUUCAUUUGGUAAUUUAUGAUGGUGGUGCGGGAGAUUUCAAAAGGAAAAUCCAAAUGGAAGUACAUGAGAAGAAAAGGGAAGGAGUGUGCUGCUUAUUGAAAAACUGAGGAAGUACUAAACAUAAACAAUCUUACUUGUAGUAAACAGACACCAUGUUUAAAGAAUUAACACUCUUUGUAAGAUUAGCUAUCAGCUUAAAAAAUCUACAGUUUGAGAAAGAAAGCAAUACAGUUAAACUGUUCUAAACAAUUC